ACAUCGGAGAACUUGUUCUGCUUUUCGUGCUCAUUGUCCAUUAGUUGUCCAACGAAUGAGUCAGUAACAUGUAAAUCAUCAGCAUUCUCGUUUGAAAUCUCAACUUCCACGGUUUCAUUACUCUGACUUGCUUUAGGCUGUAGGUGGUCAGUUGGUGAGUCUUCCCUAGUUUCUCCCUCGGAUCUCUCGUCAUGGUCUUUGACUGAUGUUGCUUCUGCGAUGCUUGUGUUUGUUUCUGCAGUUUCGGCACAGAUGGCAGUAUUGACAUCCUCAGAAACUGCAUCUAAAGGACACAUAUGGUUCUCCUUUUCGGGUUCAUUCUUUUGCUUGAAGCUCUCCUGGAUUUCGUCCUUGUGGGAAUUUUCCUCUUGAUUCUUCUGUACGACAACAAUAUUUUCUACUUCACUAGUUUUUACUUCAGGCAUUGGAACAAUGGAUUCCUCGUCCUUUCUCAUUUCAGACAAUCCCUUUGUUAUGGCCAGCUCCUUGUCUGUCACCUGUAUGACUCUCACGUCCGCCGCAACGUUUUCUGAGUGCUUGUGAGGAUCUUGAUCUUCUUCUGAAGUGUCCUCGGCUAUUUUCCUCUCUUCAAUGAGAGUCGUAUCAUAUUUUUCCAAAGGCAUAGUAGAAUGUUCCUUAACAUCAUCUCCUAAUACCUCUUUCAAUAGAAUCUCCUCGGAGGUCAUUUCCAUUUGAUUUUCACUUCCUGUGUUUGGAAAUUUAUCCUGCACUCCAUCUUCUUUUCGGGAAAUCUCGAUGUCCUUCUCACUUGUCACGUAUGAUUCUACUGAUUUUACAUCAAUGUCUGCACUUUCUAAACCAAUCCCUUCAUCUUCACCAUCAACAACAUUAUUUAUUUCAUUAAUUUCCUCUUCUUCUGGUUCAGCUUUAGCUUCCUUUAAGUUUGUUUCUGCCGUUUCUGCUGCUUGUGAUGUACAAUCGAAAUCAGCAGUAUCGAUGUGUUUGUUUACUGCUGUUUCUUCUUCAGUAUCCAUUUUGGACUCCUCGAGCUCAAAUGAAGAGCUGCAGACAAGUUCUUCUUUGAAAUCGAUUAUAGUUAUUUCUUUUUCCGCUGUACCUGAAGCUGUAGUUUCUGAUCCUCUACAAACCUGCAGGAUAUACAAAAUUUCAAUAUAACUCUGACAAAGUUCUGGAUGGUUAUGGACUUAUAAGACAAAUUCCAAUGGGCCAUGGGUCAUCUUUGUGCUAAGUUCAUGAACUGAACAUUUUAUUCUUUGAAAUCCAAGUUAUCGUGAGGUUUGCUAGCUAGCAUCAGUUGCCUCAUGACACCUCUCUUAUUAAGGAUCUCUGUUUUUGGCCUUAUCUUUUGUGGUUUUGAUCAGAAUUCACUCAGCUCUAUAUUUUUACACUGUGUAAUGGAUAGCCUAUCACUUCUGAUUGUACUGUUUUGCAUUGUACGCAUGUGUUUGCCAAUAAUAAUGGUUGUUUGUUCCAGGUCUAUUAAUGGAAGUAGUUCGGAAGUAUAUUAUAAGAUUGAAGUUUGAAGAUUGGAGAGUUAAAUAAUUUUCUUACCUCUUCAAUUGUAAUCUGAUUAUUGUUGGUGUCUUCCUCCUUUAGAAUUUGUUUUCCAUCAUUCUCAACUGUGUUGUCCGGUUCUAGCUUUUCAGCGACCUGAAUGAAAAUAUAUUCAUAGAUUGGUUAAACAUGGACGUUUCAGAUUUUAGCAAAUAGAUUGAAAUUGAGUUAGUAUUCAUGAUAGGAACUCUUUUGAUUACCUCAGCUUCAUCCUUGUCCACAGUUUCCAUAUUUAGAUUCUGCUUUUGCACUUCAUCAUUUUCAUUAGUUCGGAUAUCAGGAUCCGAUUCAGAGGAUAUCUCUUCAAGCUGCGCAAUCUCCACUUCUGUCUCUUGAGCAUCACUCUUAAUAUUUCCUACAGUCGUCUCAGCUGAGCUGAUAUUUGAAGCAUUUACAAUCUUGUCGGCGUCGUUCAAGCUCGUCUCUGCUGUUACUUCUGUUACAGCUUCAAUACAACUCUCCUCAUGACACGGUUUCGAUGCAUCAAUAAUCUCCUCAGUUUUCUCUUCUGCUUCUCGAUCUUUGCUACGCAGACUUACAGGAUCUCCGGACUCUUCAGCCUGUCUCAUUUCUUCUAAUUCUUUGGUGAUGUGGGAUGCUUCUCCAUCAUUGGUUGAAUGUUCUUUGACCUCCAAGUUUUCUGCAACUAUCUGCUCUUUGGACUCUGCUUCCAUGAAACAUUCAGUUGCGACAGAACUGUAGUCUUCCACCUGUGCAUAACAUAGAUAAAAUGUUUAACAAUAUAACAUCCGAAAAUUUGUUUGAAUAUCUAUUCAUUUUGAAAGUGAAAAGUGUAAUUAUUCAUUUUGUUUUUUAACAAGAAAAAGAGCAGAAUAAGUAUUCACUAACCUUUGCAUUAUAAGUCAUGAUAACCAUCUCAGGAAUCUGAUUUUCUUUUUCUAUUUCAGUAUCUUCCUUCAAGCUUUCCGGUUUCUCUAUGUUCUUAGCUAAUUUCUCUUCUUCGGUAGCCUUCUCAUCAUCCUUGUGAGUACCCAAGGUUGCUUCCAAAUCCACAGCUUCAUCCAAUGGCUUUCCAUCUUCAAUUUUUGAUCUAUCCAGUCCUACAUCUGACGGAUUUUGAACUGGCAGUGCUUUUGCUUCGCAAGCAUUGGUUUGAUUCUCAAAUUCUCUAUGUUCUUCAACGGUAGAGACAUCGGUGAUCUCUAGAUUAGAUUCCUCGGCCAACUGUUCCUCAACUACUUGUCCACUUUCAUUUCCCAUAUCUUUAGACUCAGCUUUAGGGACAUCUACUAGCGGAUUAUCUUCAAUUUGCAUUAAUUUCUCAUCCAUUAUUUGUGGCAUAGGAGUUUCUGAGUGCUCACGCUGAUCCUGAUCUUUGUCUGAAGUUUCGUCAGUUAUUUUCCUUUCUUCAGAGAAUGUUGCCUCAUAUUCCUUCACUUCAUCUCCUAAUGUUUCUUUCAAGGGAAUCUCCUUGGUGGUCAUCUCCAAUUGAUCUUCACUUCCUGCAUAUGGAACUUUAUCCUGCACUGCAUCUUCUUCUUCGGGAAUCUCCAUGUCCUUCUCGUGUGUUACGUACGAGUCCCCUGAUUUCACAUCAAUUUCAGCACUGCAUACACCACUCUCUUCAUGUUCCGUUCUUGCUGAGCUGUUCUCUUCGAUGACAACAACAUUAUAUAUUUCGUUAUUUCUCUUUUCUCUUUCAGCUUCAGCAUCAGCUUCAGCUUCAGCAUCAGCUUCAGCUUCCUUUAUGUUUGUUUCUUCUGUUUCUGCUGGAUAUGAUGCUGAGAUUUCUUCUUCGGUGUCAUUUUUGGACUCCUUGAGCUCAAACUCCGAACUACGAGCCCAGUCUUCUUUCACUUCUAUUGGUGUUAUUUCUUCUUUUGACUCCUGUACAAUAUCAUACAGACUAGAACCAUUAUUUGGCUUUGCUGUUUCCUCUAUGGACUCUGUUUCCUCAAUGAUUGUGUAGCUCGUCUGUAAAACGUUGAAUAUAUAAGUUGAUGGAAGAUUGAAUCCAAAAACAUUGAAUAAGUGGAAAAGUUAAGAUGUUAGUGAUUCAUACAAUCUACUUACCACUGUUAUCGACGCCACUGCUGCAGUAUUCUCUUCCUUAGCUUUUUCUUUCUUCGUCUCAGUCAUUAGUGUUGUCUGAUCCUUCUUGUUGUCUUCCUCCUCUAGAAUUUGUUUUUCGGCAUUCGCUACUGUGUUGUCUGGUUCCAGAUUUUCACAGACCUGAACAAAAUUAGUAUCAAAAGAUUGGUGAAACAUGGAGGUUUUCAGCUUUCAACUUGAUCUUAAGACUUUCAAAACAAACAAAAAAAGAUCUUAAGAACUAGUCUUUGCAAAAUUUUAGAAGUAACAUGAAUGUCACCUCUACUUCAGGUGUGGCUUCAUUUUCAUUUUCUUCUGUAGCUUUCAGUGAGUCAUCGAUGAUAGCACAUUCUUUCUUCAUGAUCGACAUUGGACCUUCAUGAACCUGCAUGAAGAAUAAGGUGUACUUUUAUUAAUAAUUACAAUGAUAAUAUCUGAAAGAGAUUAAAAUUGUUUUAAAAUUGUUUUUUAAACUGAGUUAGUAUUCAUUCAUGCCCUAAAUUUACACCUCUUUGGUUUCUUCAUGUUUUAAGUUCUCCAUGGCAUCCUUUGGUUCAGGUUUCUGUGCACUGCAGUUCUCCGGCUGCUGCAGUAUACUCUCUUCUUUGUGUUCUAAAGCUUCAUUUUCCACUGGUUGAACACUGAGGAGCUCAUACUGCUUUUCGUGCUCAUUGUCCACUAGUUGUCCAACAUAUGAAUCAAUAACAUGUAAAUCAUCAGCCUUCUCGUUUGAAAUCUCAACUUCCACAGUUUCAUUAAUGUAACUUGCUUUAGUUUGUAGGUGGUCAGUUGGUGAGUCUUCCCUUAUUUCUCCCUCAGAUCUCUCGUCAUGGUCUUUGACUGAUGUUGCUUCUUCGAUGCUUGUGCUUGUUUCUGCAGUUUUGGCACAGAUGGCAGUAUUGACAUCCUCAGAAACUGCAUCCAA
rnacentral:lncRNA from 1 species